GACGAACGCUGGCGGCGUGCUUAACACAUGCAAGUCGAACGGUGAUGCUCCAGCUUGCUGGAGUGGAUCAGUGGCGAACGGGUGAGUAACACGUGAGCAACCUGCCCCAGACUCUGGAAUAAGCGCUGGAAACGGCGUCUAAUACUGGAUACGAAACUGGCCCGCAUGGGCAUGGUUUGGAAAGUUUUUCGGUUUGGGAUGGGCUCGCGGCCUAUCAGCUUGUUGGUGAGGUAAUGGCUCACCAAGGCGACGACGGGUAGCCGGCCUGAGAGGGCGACCGGCCACACUGGGACUGAGACACGGCCCAGACUCCUACGGGAGGCAGCAGUGGGGAAUAUUGCACAAUGGGCGGAAGCCUGAUGCAGCGACGCCGCGUGAGGAAUGACGGCCUUCGGGUUGUAAACCUCUUUCAGCAGGGAAGAAGCGAAAGUGACGGUACCUGCAGAAGAAGCACCGGCUAACUACGUG
rnacentral:rRNA from 1 species